rnacentral:rRNA from 1 species
UUGAACGCUGGCGGCAUGCUUUACACAUGCAAGUCGAACGGUAACAGGUCUUCGGAUGCUGACGAGUGGCGAACGGGUGAGUAAUGCAUCGGAACGUGCCCAGUCGUGGGGGAUAACGCAGCGAAAGCUGUGCUAAUACCGCAUACGAUCUAUGGAUGAAAGCGGGGGAUCGCAAGACCUCGCGCGAUUGGAGCGGCCGAUGUCAGAUUAGCUAGUUGGUGGGGUAAAGGCCCACCAAGGCGACGAUCUGUAGCUGGUCUGAGAGGACGACCAGCCACACUGGGACUGAGACACGGCCCAGACUCCUACGGGAGGCAGCAGUGGGGAAUUUUGGACAAUGGGCGCAAGCCUGAUCCAGCAAUGCCGCGUGCAGGAAGAAGGCCUUCGGGUUGUAAACCGCUUUCAGCCGGAAAGAAAUCGCCACUUCUAAUACGAGUGGUGGAUGACGGUACCGGAAGAAGAAGCACCGGCUAACUACGU